GAUCAUGGCUCAGAGUGAACGCUGGCGGCAGGCCUAACACAUGCAAGUCGAGCGGCAGCGCGUCCGACCACCCUCGGGUGGUCGGAUGGCGGCGAGCGGCGGACGGGUGAGGAAUGCAUCGGAAUCUGCCUCGUUGUGGGGGAUAACGUAGGGAAACUUACGCUAAUACCGCAUACGACCUACGGGUGAAAGUGGGGGGACCUUCGGGCCUCACGCGAUGAGAUGAGCCGAUGCCGGAUUAGCUAGUUGGCGGGGUAAAGGCCCACCAAGGCGACGAUCCGUAGCUGGUCUGAGAGGAUGAUCAGCCACACUGGAACUGAGACACGGUCCAGACUCCUACGGGAGGCAGCAGUGGGGAAUAUUGGACAAUGGGGGCAACCCUGAUCCAGCCAUGCCGCGUGUGUGAAGAAGGCCUUCGGGUUGUAAAGCACUUUUGUUGGGGAAGAAACCGGCCGGGUUAAUACCCUGGUUGAAUGACGGUACCCAAAGAAUAAGCACCGGCUAACUUCGUG
rnacentral:rRNA from 1 species